CAAGUGAAGCCCAAAUAAUAUGAUGGGCUGUAAAAUAGGCCCAGGGAGAUUUUAUGGCACAACAACUACCCCCCGGUUCCUUGAAGUAUUAAAUACGAGAGGAACCUAAGAACGGUAACCCUCAAUCAUCCAGCUGCAAGCCCUUGAAUUAUGUCAGAAAUUAGUCGUAUAUUAUUUCUAAGCUUACGUGGGCGUAGCCCGAUGUAAGAAACAAGAAAUAAUUCAGACGUAAUUCCCACACAUAAUUAUAAAACCAAUUAUAUUAAUUCAAUACAACCACCGCAAGCCUUGAAUAUUUAUUCCUAAAGAUAAU
rnacentral:lncRNA from 1 species